rnacentral:rRNA from 1 species
GACGAGCGCUGGCGGCGGGCUUAACACAUGCAAGUCGAACGGAAAGGCCCUGCUUUUGUGGGGUGCUCGAGUGGCGAACGGGUGAGUAACACGUGAGUAACCUGCCCCUGACUUUGGGAUAACUUCAGGAAACUGGGGCUAAUACCGGAUAGGAGCUCCUGCUGCAUGGUGGGGGUUGGAAAGUUUGGGCGGUUGGGGAUGGACUGGCGGCUUAUCAGCUUGUUGGUGGGGUAGUGGCUUACCAAGGCUUUGACGGGUAGCCGGCCUGAGGGGGUGACGGGCAAAUUGGGGACUGAGUAACGCCCCGGCCCCCUAGGGGGGGAAGAGGGGGGGAAUUUGGCAAAAGGGCGGGAGGCUGUAGGCAGACCCCCCGGGGGGGGGAGGCGGGCUUUGGGUUGUAAAACCGGUUCCCCCUGUGACGAAGCGGGGGUGAGGGAAAGGGAUAAAAAAACCCCGGCAAACUCCGUC